rnacentral:rRNA from 1 species
AGAGUUUGCCCUUGGCUCAGGAUGAACGCCGGCGGUGUGCCUAAUACAUGCAAGUCGUACGCACUGGCCCAACUGACUGAUGGUGCUUGCACCUGAUUGACGUUGGAUCACCAGUGAGUGGCGGACGGGUGAGUAACACGUAGGUAACCUGCCCCGGAGCGGGGGAUAACAUUUGGAAACAGAUGCUAAUACCGCAUAACAACAAAAGCCACAUGGCUUUUGUUUGAAAGAUGGCUUUGGCUAUCACUCUGGGAUGGACCUGCGGUGCAUUAGCUAGUUGGUAAGGUAACGGCUUACCAAGGCGAUGAUGCAUAGCCGAGUUGAGAGACUGAUCGGCCACAAUGGAACUGAGACACGGUCCAUACUCCUUUUUUAGGCAGCAGUAGGGAAUCUUCCACAAUGGGCGCAAGCCUGAUGGAGCAACACCGCGUGAGUGAAGAAGGGUUUCGGCUCGUAAAGCUCUGUUGUUGGAGAAGAACGUGCGUGAGAGUUACUGUUCACGCAUUGACGGUAUCCCAACCAGAAAGACACGGCUAACUACUUGCCAGCAGCCGCGGUAAUACUUAGGUGGCAAGCGUUAUCCGGCUUUAUUGGGAGUAAAGCGAGCGCAGGCGGUUGCUUAGGUCUUGAUGUGAAAGCCUUCGGCUUAACCGAAGAAGUGCAUCGGAAACCGGGCGACUUGAGUGCAGAAGAGGACAGUGGAACUCCAUGUGUAGCGGUGGAAUGCGUAGAUAUAUGGAAGAACACCAGUGGCGAAGGCGGCUGUCUGGUCUGCAACUGACGCUGAGGCUCGAAAGCAUGGGUAGCGAACAGGAUUAGAUACCCUGGUAGUCCAUGCCGUAAACGAUGAGUGCUAGGUGUUGGAGGGUUUCCGCCCUUCAGUGCCGGAGCUAACGCAUUAAGCACUCCGCCUGGGGAGUACGACCGCAAGGUUGAAACUCAAAGGAAUUGACGGGGGCCCGCACAAGCGGUGGAGCAUGUGGUUUAAUUCGAAGCUACGCGAAGAACCUUACCAGGUCUUGACAUCUUGCGCUAACCUUAGAGAUAAGGCGUUCCCUUCGGGGACGCAAUGACAGGUGGUGCAUGGUCGUCGUCAGCUCGUGUCGUGAGAUGUUGGGUUAAGUCCCGCAACGAGCGCAACCCUUGUUACUAGUUGCCAGCAUUAAGUUGGGCACUCUAGUGAGACUGCCGGUGACAAACCGGAGGAAGGUGGGGACGACGUCAGAUCAUCAUGCCCCUUAUGACCUGGGCUACACACGUGCUACAAUGGACGGUACAACGAGUCGCAAGCUCGCGAGAGUAAGCUAAUCUCUUAAAGCCGUUCUCAGUUCGGACUGUAGGCUGCAACUCGCCUACACGAAGUCGGAAUCGCUAGUAAUCGCGGAUCAGCAUGCCGCGGUGAAUACGUUCCCGGGCCUUGCACACACCGCCCGUCA